GUAGUCAGUAGGUGGGGGGUGAGAACGGCUCCAUACAGGAGUUGACGCACAGUUAUCCAGCUCCUAUAUGGCGCCUUUCCUCAUCCCCUUCAA
rnacentral:pre_miRNA from 1 species